rnacentral:rRNA from 1 species
AACGCGAAGAACCUUACCAGGGUUUGACAUGCUAUUGCACCACCCAGAGAUGGGUGUCUCUUCGGAGCGGUAGCACAGGUGCUGCAUGGCUGUCGUCAGCUCGUGUCGUGAGAUGUUGGGUUAAGUCCCGCAACGAGCGCAACCCCCAUCGUCGGUUACAAGUGUCCGGCGAGACUGCCACGAUCAACGUGGAGGAAGGUGGGGAUGACGUCAAGUCAGCACGGCCCUUACGUCCUGGGCGACACACACGCUACAAUGGUCGGUACAAUGGGUCGCCAACCCGCGAGGGGGAGCCAAUCCCACAAAACCGAUCUCAGUUCAGAUUGGAGGCUGCAACCCGCCUCCAUGAAGUUGGAGUUGCUAGUAACCGUAGGUCAGCACACUACGGUGAAUACGUUCCCGGGCCUUGUACACACCGCUACAGU